GACCACUGAACUCAUAAGCCGUACAGACAGUGAGCACACGUCCACCGCUGAUGAGUGGGUCCAGCAGGGCCCCAAUCUUCCUCCUCUUUUCCCCCUCUCAUCCACCUCCACCUCCUCCUCCACCUCUUCCCAUUUUACCUCCUCAGGAGGAUCCAGAAGAUUAUUUUGCUGAUGAUGAAGAAG